GGUGUAAACCGCGAAUGGCUCAUUACAUCAGUUGUGGUUCAUUAGAUCAUAUGUUUAAAUGGAUAACUGUGGCAAAUCUAGAGCUAAUACAUGUUUACAAGCUCUGACUUCUGGAAAGAGCGCUUUUGUUAGAUCAAAACCAAUGGUUUCUUCGGAAAUCAAAACAAUGCUGAGUCUGAAUAAAUUUGCAGAUUGCACGGUCUUCGUACCGGCGACGUAUCUUUCAAGUGUCUGCCCUAUCAACUGGCGAUGGUAGUUUAUGUGCCUACCAUGGUUGUAACGGGUAACGGGGAAUCAGGGUUCGAUUCCGGAGAGAGAGCAUGAGAAACGGCUAUCACAUCCAAGGAAGGCAGCAGGCGCGCAAAUUACCCAAUCCUAGAUCGGGGAGGUAGUGACGAAAAAUAACAAUGCCGCAGUCGAAUAGACUCGGCAAUUGGAAUGAGUACAAUCUAAAUCCUUUAACGAGGAACAAUUGGAGGGCAAGUUCUGGUGCCAGCAGCCGCGGUAAUUCCAGCUCGAAUAGCGUAUAUUAAAGUUGUUGCAGUUAAAAAGCUCGUAGUUGGAUAUCAGGAGAUGAUUCACGGACUUCUUAAUGGAGCAACCGUGUUUUCGCUCCUCUUUGUACCGUUUCAUCGUCGAUGCACUUUAUUGUGUGUCACGUUUGAACGGCCUUUUUACUUUGGAGAAAAUUAGCGUGCUUAACGCAGGCGUUACAGCUUGUAUAAUGUUGCAUGGAA
rnacentral:rRNA from 1 species